GGAAAUACUCGAUAAUUUUGAAGCUCUCGGGGUACUACUACUGAGAAUACAUUUUUUCGCCCAGGGGGACGGAAAUGACACAUUUUCUGAAAAUCUGCCUUUCGCCUACGCCGUGACGAAAAAUAACAUUCUCACCACAGGAGGAUUUGAAGGAUUUGGCGGAGGAUUUGGUCGAGGACUUGGCAGGGGACUUGGUGAGGGACUUGAUGAUGGGGAAAGGACAGAAGAGUGAGAGUGAGCGAACAGGUCUCAUCAUCUUCGCCGAGGUACAUCAGUUCAUUCUCGACGAUGAAUCCACCGUCGGAAUUCAUCCGUCUGUCUUCACGUUGGAGAUCUCGUAAUUUUCAGAUCUACUACUGGUCAGAAUUUCUUGAUUGGACUUUCGGAUCAGGAUCUGGUAAAAUACGAAACGGAGUAUCUGCAUCUAAUGUGGCGGAGUGACUUCCCAUCCGAUGCUAAUCAUGCAAAUUCCGACUGAAUUUUUAUGGAAUCUAGUACUGAUCAGACAGAUCGGAUUCUAGCAUUUUGGUCAGGCAUGGAUCAAAAACAAGCCUCCCAUUUCUCAUCUAAUAUUGAUGAAUGGUAUUUUUUACUCAUCAGCUUCUCAUUCAAGUCUGACUUGAGUGUUCGUUUGGGGUGAUACUCUGACUGAGUAUAUGGAACGCAUCGGCCAGUUAUGUGCAGAA